rnacentral:tRNA from 1 species
GAGAGUAUAGCUCAAUUGGUAGAGUGCAUGCUUGGCGUACACAAGGUCCUGGGUUCAAUCCCCAGUACCUCCU